UGCUGGUGAAAAACCCUACGAAUGUAAAGAA
rnacentral:piRNA from 1 species